rnacentral:piRNA from 1 species
UGCGACCUUUGAAUACAGUUCCUCAUGGUGU